UACGUAGGGUGCAAGCGUUAAUCGGAAUUACUGGGCGUAAAGCGUGCGCAGGCGGUUUUGUAAGUCAGAUUUGAAAUCCCCGGGCUUAACCUGGGAACUGCGUUUGAAACUACAAGGCUAGAGUGUGGCAGAGGGGGGUGGAAUUCCACGUGUAGCAGUGAAAUGCGUAGAGAUGUGGAGGAACACCGAUGGCGAAGGCAGCCCCCUGGGUUAACACUGACGCUCAGGCACGAAAGCGUGGGGAGCAAACAGG
rnacentral:rRNA from 1 species